rnacentral:lncRNA from 10 species
GCGGCGGCGGCAGCGGCUGCACAGGCGGCGGCGGCGGCCGCGGCAGCAUCACACACUUACACACUCACAGGGGGCGGAGCCUGGACAGCUAGAAGCCGCGACAUGGAGCAGCAGGAGGACCAAGCAGAAGCAGAAGGAGCCAGCAAGAGGCAGCACUAUGAACAGAAGUGCCUGCGGGAAGGAGAGAAGAGACAAGUGGUGCCGGCUGCUGCUUCAAAAGAGGGGCAGGGGCUUUCCCUUCCUGAGAUCAAAACCAAGCAGGAAGGUUGGGUUGGGUGGAAGGAGCCCCCACUUCCUAGCCACUCUCCUCAAACAGAGAUGAGGUUAAGACAGGCAACACUGAAGGGGCCAGGCUGUCCCUGAGGCCUCUUUGGCCGGGCCUGGCACCUGCUCACUGAGCAUCAGCUACUGAGCAAGAUAGAAGCUUUGUCUUCUCUGAUCCAAGGUGUGCUUUCUCCCUUCCUCCUCACUCUGUGCAUCCGUGGCUCUGAUGGGGCCAGGGGCCCUAGAACUCAGCUCUUCAAUGAAUCCUCAAACAUGUGGGCAGGAUGCUGGAUCCAAGCCAUGCUUCCUCCACCAAAAAGCUAGCAGGAGGGUGGAGAAAGCACUUUGCAUGGAGGGCAGUAGCAAGAGGAAAUAAAAAGGCUAUCUGGAGGGAGGGCCCACUGCUGCUGUCAUACUGGGGUCAUCUAGCUGUCAUCUAGCCUGUGGUGGGGAUCCAGUUGCUUCCCUCUCAUUCCACUCACUAUGGCAUCUUAGCUAUGGUGGAAUACUCCCCCUCACCAGCCUAAUGCCUUUGUUUUGGCUGGAAAAGCUCCUUUCUUACCUAGCAAAACCCACCUCAGGCCCCAGUUUCAGAACUCUCAGUUCAACCGAAUAUUUUAGAAACUGCAGGCACAACCUUCUCUCCCUCUGACCCUUCUCCCUCUGUUGGCUUCUCCCAUUCUGACUGUCUCCCCCACCCCUGCCAGUGCCUCACCAAUUUCCCCUAGUCACAAAACCCCAACCAAAAGGAACCUACUGGGAGAACCCGUAGGCCAACAGAAAGCCAUCUUUUCUGACAGGAAAGGAUCAAAACUGAGACUCCAUGCCCCAAUCCACUGAGAUAAAACCAGAAAUUGUUUUUAAGAGGGAUUGGUUUUAUAGAAAUGCUGAUUUUCAGAUUUUCUAAAGUGAGAUUUUUGACUUGAAUUACUUUUAAAGGAGUUUAAUUUGUAGUCUCCAGGUACUAAUCUUUGUUUCAAAGAACUUGAAAUCCUCCAUUUGUACAGUCGUACUAAAGGCACUGUCAUGCAGGUUCGGGUAGUGUCUAAAAAUUAGGAUUAGUUUAAGAAAGUUGCACUGUGCAUGUCAGUUACAGGAAAUGAACAAAUUGACAACGUGUGAUACACAUGUCAUCAUGUCACACCACAGAUUUCCACUUAAAAUAUUAAGCAUUUGUUUCUGACCUGGUAUGCUGUCAGGCUGACUUACUUUCUAGGAAGAAAUUACGAUCCAGGUUACAGCUCAUUUGGGGAAGCUUGCUGGAAAGAAUUCCAUGGGCACCAUGGGGACUACCACCUUUCAUAACCGUGGCUCCUCUUCGGACAGAGCCACUUGGUGCUGCCAUGAGUUUAGAAUGGAGUGACAUGACUCUGAAUUUGGGGCAGUUUCCACACAUGGGCUGCAAUGUCCAGAAUGAUUCUUCUAAAGAAAUACUUCAAUCUUUUCUCUCUUUUUUUUGAGACGGAGUCCCACUCUGUCAACCAGGUAGGAGUGCAGUGGGCAGUGGUACGAUCUCAGCUCACUGCAACCUCCGCUUUCCAGGUUCUCCUGCCUCAGCCUCCCCAGUAGCUGGGAUUGCAGGGACACGCCACCACGCCCAAGUAAUUUUUUUGUAGUUUUUAGUAGAGAUGGGGUUUCACAAUGUUGGCCAAGCUGGUCUCGAACUCCUGGCUUCAAGUGAUCCACCCGCCUCGGCCUCCCAAACUGUUAGGAUUACAGGCGUGAGCCACAGUGCUCAGCCUAUUUCAAUCUCAGUUCUCCCUAGAAACUGUAAGCCUUAUGAGGGCAGGGCCUGAGUCUAUGUCAUCAAAGCCUAGGAUGGUAUCUGACACAUAGUAGACCCUUCCAGGAUCUAUCUAACCAGCUUCUGUAUAGGUAGCAAUCUCAGGAGUUGAUUUCAAAUUGGGUCAGGACAAUUCUCUGAACUUCCUGAAUAUGCAUAUGUAAUUUUUUUUCACAACUCCUGUUUCUACCACUUAUACUUUGGAUCUCAAUCAUGCAUCAUGAUUGAAAGACCCUAUACUUGAGUUUUCUGGUUAUCAUAGGUAAUGAUCCCAUUUCAGAGCUCUUCUAAAGUCCCUGGCUCUGGAUUCCUACGAAGUCCUAAAUAUCAAACACCAUCUGACCUUAUGUCAAUCAUCUGCUUCAUUAGGUUUAUGGUAUUUGAAAGGUCACGUUAUUCUGAUUUUAGAUGAUAUGUUGCUGUAAUUCCUUUUACAUAUUUAGCAUAACCAUAAAAGAGAUAACAUUGAUUGAGCCUCUAUAUACCAGGCACAGUACUAAGCGUUGUAUAUACAUUAUUUCAUUUACUCCUCAGCAUGAUUCUCUGAGGUAGAUACUAGUAUUGUACUUACUUAUUUUGUAGGAGAAAGCCAAGGCUCACAGAAUCUGAGUAUUUACUCAAAGUCACAGAGCUCAUAAGUGCCAUAGCCAGGUUUUGUCCCCAAGCUGGUUUGCUGGCAAAGCCCAUGUACUAAUCCACACUGCCAUACUACCCCCAUUGUGCAUUCACAAAGUAUUUCAUCUCACUUUAGCUCUGAGAGGUAAGCAGAGAAUUAACCAUACUCUCCAUUUGACAGUAGAGGAAACAAGUUAAAGUGAUUUCACCAAGGGCACAUGGUGGGACAGCUGAGCAGCUGGGGCUGGGCAUGAAAUCCAGUGCUUGUUCUACUUACCACAUUGUUGUUUAUAGUCUCAGGGCCACCCUGAUGAACUAUAAUACCCUGGGAGUUUGGGACUGAAGUGGCAUCAGUUAACUGUUGGAUUAGAAAAAAAAUUCUCAUGGUGCAAUUUCCCUGAUCUCAACUGUGGCUGAAUUGGAGGAAGGCAGUUGACUGAGCCAUGCCCUUGUAUUAAUGAAAGUCAAUCUAAUAGGCAACAGGAAGCAAGAAUACGGUGGAGCAAUUCUUGCUUCAUCAUUUAAGAAGACUCAGAUGGGGCUUUUUCCUGGAGAUUAUAAAUCUAGGGCUAAGAAACCUCUUUGGCCAACUGUUGGGGAACACAUGUUGGUGGGCUGUAAGGUGUCCACAGGGAGUUAUCUUCUGCAUAUGACUAUGCUGCUAUGCAACGACGAAUCCCUGGCUAGUUCUUCUAACUUCUUGAGGGCUCCAUUUUCUUGUGUAUAAAUUAAGGAAGUGGGAAACAGUCCAGCUCUGGCAUUCUAUGGCUCCUUGAUUUGAAGUCCCUUUAUAUAACCUCCAGUCCAUGGCCAAAUGCAGAUUCGUAGUUUAUAAUGAUGAGGGAGGCAAAGUGAAGAGUCAUCUGAAUUGCCCAGAUCAAUAAUCUCCAUGUCUGAUAUGGUGAUUGAGAAAUCUACUUCCUGGAGCUCCGAGUGCUAUCCCUGGGCUGCUCUCAUCAACCCAUUCAGCAGUGUGGCUGCCAACAGUUUCUUCCUGGAGCCAGCUAUACAGAGCUGAAGGACUGGAUUCCAGAGGGAAGUCAAGCAUUUUUCCAGUGGCCAGAGAGGAAACCUAAUGUAUAUGAGAGUGCUUUGUAAAUGGUAAAAAGCCCCAGAUAAAUGUGUGCUCUCAUCAUCCCUGGAGCUGAUGUCUUAGAGGCUUCCCCAUUAGGUGACAUCAGCAGUGCUAAGUGUACUAGCUAUAUUUGGAUGUUUUAUUCUAGUUUUUGUUGUUGUUGUUGUUAGUUUGUUUACAAAAGGGUAUAUAUUAACCAGGCAUGGGUUCCAGUUGCAAGUUUUCAUGCUUUUAAAGUAAUAUUUAUUAAGAUAUAUAAACUUCUUUCUACGUGGUAAUCAUUUUUUGGAGGGAGUUCAGAUCAUUGAUUUUCAUACUGAAACAUUUAAAGGGAUUUAAAUCAGUGUCUUUGUUUAAAGCAUCCUGAUUAUUAGCAUCGUGAGAAACUUUUAUUUUUCUAAUAAGUUGCUAACAAUAAAAUCCUCGGCGGUGUCAUUAAUAGAAAUGAAAUGACUGCCUAAAGUCAACUUUUAGCUGCUUCUGCCUUUUUAUUUUCAGGAAAUGGAAUGCAGUAAGCCCCUCAAGCUCUGAAUUAUUCUUGAACGCUUUGAUGCUUGGGCUCAGUGAUGGCCAUCAGAGAUACAAUUAGGCUGUGUUGUUCUGUGGGUGAAAGGAGAGCAGAGGCCUCAGCCUCCAGAACUUUUGCCUAAUCACUUCACCUCCUGGGAACUGCUGCUCCAAAGAGGCCAUGCUUCUCUGCCACUAGGUGGUUCAUCCUUCCUCCUUUCACAAAAGUCAAACCAGAUCUGGAUGAUCAGGAUGACCCAGAGUUGGCCUGGAUUGUAACAGUUAAAUGGCUGAGGAGACUUUCCACCACUACCCCAAUGGCCCCCCUCAGGCUCUUUCUUCCAUAAACCUGCAACCUCCCCAAUGAAUGAGAUGCCUCUGGACCCACCACCAAUGAUAAUGGGAUCUGUUGUGAACAGGCAAAAAAGUGCCUGCCCAUUUCCACCCCAUAGUCUACUUUGCAUUGCUAUGAGGGAUCCAACCAGGCCAAAAUGCUUUCACAAUCUUCUGAGAGACCACAGCUUGGAAGAGGGCCAUAUCCCUCACCCAGCUGCACUUCCAGGUGUCGCACUUGUGCCUCACUCAAUAGCAUCUUCUUAGGUCAACUGGCCAUGCUUUGAGACUUUACUUAUCAGUGAUGACAUUUUAGUCAUGUACAUUUCUCAGCAGGGUGAUGGCCCCAAGAUAGCCUUUUUCUUUUCUGCCAGCAUAUAGGGUUUUUUAAAAUAUCAUAGAAUAUCAGCACUACCAGGAACCUUAUUGAUUAUCUAUAGUCCAGUGGAGGCUCAGGUUACUCACCAAGAUUGCACAGCUAGUUAUAUGAAUCAAAACCAUAAGAAGAUCCCCCAAGUCUCAAUUGAAACUCAAAUUAUGCAGUCUUGAAAUCUUAAGCCACUGCAUCUUAUACCAUUUUAUGUUUUAAAAUACUUAUCAUUUGAACCAUAAAUUAAGGAAAAACUUAUGCUUUGGAGAAAAAUGAAAAUUCCAUCCAAUACUCUGUAAGAGAAUGAUUUACUUUUUUUGAGGAUUGAUUAUCUGUGUAAUCAACUAUCUUCAAGAAGUGUUCAUUAAGCUCCCAGUUUAAGGUCCCAGGUUAAGUAGACACUUUGCCAUACCAUUGCUUGAAAGAGAAAAUGGUCAGCUCUACUUGGAAAGCACAUGCAAUUCACUUUAUUUAAAGCAUGCCUUCCUGGAACAAAUUAUACUGGCACUAUUGAGUGUAAGGUGGCAAAGUAAUUCUCAGUUAAAAAAUAAAACCCAAAAGAAGGCCACAGGCUCUAGGAUGGGAAAUGUUCUGGCUGUACUUUCAUUUUCUAGUAUCCUCAUUAGUAAUGUGUGUUUUCUCCAACAUGGUGUCAUUGACGUAGCAUAUGUAAAGUCCUACAUGCAGCCCCCCCUUCUGCCUCCCCAAAUCUUCUAUCACGAUAGAAUCCUGCCUUCCCCAUUCUGAUCUGCUGGAUUGUGUAUGGGAAAAUGUUUCACCUAGGUCAAAUGGCAACCAUAUUCUAUCUCUGAAGCAGACAAAACUUUUGCUUACUUUUCUCAUUCACCUCGAAUGCGUCAGAGGCAAAUGUGAGUGUGAAGAAAAUCUUUUGAUCUCAUAUUCAAGAGCUAAUGAAGAAUGGAAAUGUUACCUAGUAUUUUCUUUCCAUUUUCACAUGCCCCAGUUUUGGCCAAAGUGUCUGCUUUUAACCAAAAGCAUAUUUUAAAUGAGUAGGUUUUUCAGUGCAUUAACCUUUAUUACAGGCCUCCAAGCAGCCAGUUAGAACCAUUACAUAGCACUCACCAAAGUGUAGUUUCUAGAAGUUCACUGAUAAAAAGAUGAUAGAAACUUUCUGCAGUAAUUUUGUUUAUAGUUAACAUUUUUUAAAGGUUGAACAGGCAUCAGGACCAUUUAUGGGAACAAGAAGUUUAUAAUCUCUGUGAGAUUUAUUUAAAAAAACAUAAAAUAAGGAAGAAACUUCUAACAAUAAGUCCAUUAGGAAAGGGCCUAGUGUUCCUCUUGGACAUCCAAAGUACCUCAGUCAGCAAUUAAUUUGGUUCAGAGUAUGUAGGCUAUUGUGAUGCGUAAACAGAGGCUUUCUAUACAAACUGGGGAUAAUAUAGAAAAAUUGUAAAGAGUUCAUUUAGAGGUCCCAGGUGCCGAAGAGUAUGCCUACUGACAAAAAAUGUAGGUAGCAAUUCCUGACACUUUGAACUAUAUAACCAUGUCCUCUAUAAAUGUUGAAGCAUUAACAUGUAAACAUCAAUAUCAAUAUUGAUUCAUUGACAUGUAAAAUUUUAAAAAUUGCUGAAAACAGAAUAAAAAAUUUUGACUAAAAACAUUUAAAAAUUUUUUGAUAUAUAAUACCAGUAUAUAUUUUGAGGGUAUAUUUGAUAUUUGAUAUUUUGAUACCUGUAUACAAUAUGUAAUGAUUAAAUCAGGGUAUUGGGAUACCCAUCACCUUAAAUAUUUAUCUUUUCUUUGUGUUGGAAACAUUCCAGUUCUUCUAUUUUAAAUUAUUAUUAAACACAAUAAAUUAUUAAUU